rnacentral:rRNA from 1 species
AAUUCAAGUGUCUAAGAGCAUCUGGUGGAUGCCUUGGCGAUCAGAGGCGAUGAAGGACGUGGCAGGCUGCGAUAAGUCUCGGGGAGGUGUCAACAACCGUUAAUCCGAGAAUUUCCGAAUGGGGAAACCCACCCUUUACAGGGUAUCUUGUACUGAAUACAUAGGUAUAAGAGGCGAACGCGGUGAAGUGAAACAUCUCAGUAACCGUAGGAAAGGAAAUCAAACGAUACUCCCCUAGUAGCGGCGAGCGAACGGGGAUCAGCCCAGUGGCUGGAGUGUAAUAAGCAGAAGUGUCUGGAAAGUCACACCAAAGUAGGUGAUAGUCCUGUAUGCGUAAAAAGCACACCAGUCCUUGAGUAGGACGGAACACGUGAAAUUUUGUCUGAAUAUGGGGGGACCAUCCUCCAAGGCUAAGUACUCCUGAUCGACCGAUAGCGAACUAGUACCGUGAGGGAAAGGUGAAAAGAACCCCGAUAAGGGGAGUGAAACAGACCUGAAACCGGAUGCUUACAAACAGAUGGAGCACGCUUGUCGUGUGACAUCGUACCUUUUGUAUAAUGGGUCAACGAGUUAGUCUCGUAUGCAAGCUUAAGCCGAUAGGUGUAGGCGUAGGGAAACCGAGUCUGAAUAGGGCGUUUAGUAUGCGGGAUUAGAUCCGAAACCCGGUGAUCUAGUUAUGGGCAGGCUGAAGACAAGGUAACACUUGUUGGAGGGCCGAACACACUAACGUUGAAAAGUUAGGUGAUGACCUGUGACUAGGGGUGAAAGGCCAAUCAAACCGGGUGAUAGCUGAUUCUCCGCGAAAUCUAUUUAGGUAGAGCGUCAAGUGAAUACCUCAGGGGGUAGAGCACUGGAUGGGCUAGGGGGGCGCGAGCCUUACCAAACCUAACCAAACUCCGAAUACCUGAGAGUACUGCUUGGCAGACACACUGUGGGUGAUAAGGUCCAUGGUGGAAAGGGAAACAGCCCAGACCUACAGCUAAGGUCCCCAAAUCAUUGUUAAGUGGAAAAGGAUGUAGAAAGUCCAUGACAACCAGGAUGUUGGCUUAGAAGCAGCCAUCAUUUAAAGAAAGCGUAAUAGCUCACUGGUCUAAAUAAGACUUUCCGCGCCGAAGAUGUAUCGGGGCUUAAACAAUGUACCGAAGCUUAGGAUUUAUAUGUUAUCAUGUAAGUGGUAGCGGAGCGUUCUGUAAGCCUGUGAAGGGUUGCCGCGAGGUAGCCUGGAGGUAUCAGAAGUGAGAAUGUUGACAUGAGUAGCGACAAAGAGUGUGAGAAACACUCUCGCCGAAAUCCCAAGGGUUCCUGCGCAAGGCUAAUCCGCGCAGGGUGAGCCGGCUCCUAAGGCGAGGCCGAAAGGCGUAGUCGAUGGGAACACGGUUAAUAUUCCGUGGCCUGGUGGUAGUGACGGAUCUCGUAAAUUGUAUCUCCUUAUUGGAUUGGAGAUGCCGUGAAGAGGUUCCAGGAAAUAGCUCCACCAACAUAGACCGUACCCGAAACCGACACAGGUGGGAUGGUAGAGAAUACCAAGGCGCUUGAGAGAACUAUUGUGAAGGAACUCGGCAAAUUACACCCGUAACUUCGGAAGAAGGGUGACCCAUGUCCAGGCAACUGGAUAUGGGUGGCACAGACUAGGGGGUAGCGACUGUUUAUCUAAAACAUAGGGCUCUGCGAAGUCGCAAGACGACGUAUAGGGUCUGACGCCUGCCCGGUGCCGGAAGGUUAAGAGGAGAAGUGAGAGCUUUGAAUUGAAGCCCCGGUAAACGGCGGCCGUAACUAUAACGGUCCUAAGGUAGCGAAAUUCCUUGUCGGGUAAGUU